AACUGUAGAUGAUUACCUCCUCUGGACCAAUUAGGACCAAAAUCAAACUGCCCUAUUCUAGCCCUCUCAUUAACUCUCUUUAUUUCCUUCACUUUCUCCACCUCAAUCCAUUGAGCGUACAUCAUCAAUCUAGAAAGGUCCAUAUCUCUAUUGAGCAUAGAUGUCCUACACUCCUUAACUACUAAUCCAGACACACCAG
rnacentral:lncRNA from 1 species